rnacentral:lncRNA from 10 species
ACCAAGACGAGGCGCGCGCACCAGCAACCAGGGCCCGCUGGCGCCGCCCCGGGUUUCCGCUCCGGGGCUCGUCGGUCGCCGUUCGGUUCCGGUUCUGGCCCCGCCCUCACGCGGGAACCCUCCAGAAGUCUUAAUAUCCGGGACCAGAGGCUGGUUGCAGCGCACAUUUCCGGCAACGAGCGCAAAGGAAGGGAUCCGGUGACGCCUCUUCCCGUCUCCCCAGCGGCCCAGGCUCUGGCUCUCGGUGCGGCAGCGCCAUCUGGUGCCGAGUCUCCCGCCACCCGCGGAGGUGGCACGCGCCCUUCUCUCGGAACCUUCCAGAGAAACCGUGGCCCCUGCUUUCCUUUCUCCCGCCCUGGACGGGGAGGGACCCGAGUCUCCGCCCCGCCGAGUUCCCGCGCGGGAGGGACUUUGUGGCGACUCUGAAGCGGAAGCUGCCUGUAGGAGGAGCUUUACAAACCCAAAAUGGAGCGGAAACUGUUCUUUCUCUAGUUUUAAGUCCAGAAGAAACGGCGUCCUUUUAUUUUUUGCUUCCUUAUGCGUUGUUGCUGGGUCAUUCUCAGUCUUCCCCGUAUCAGUUCUUUAAUCUUUGAGGACUGGGACCCUGUAUUAAUUGCCUGGUAGGAAGAUGACACGAGCUUUGUGGCUUACAUUGGCCUCUGCUGUAAAAGCUUUUGUUUCCUUUGGCCUAUUAAAGCGCUGUUGUAAAAGCCUGCUGUGUAUGUUAGGAACCCGCAAUGGUGCGAUCUCAGCUCAUCACAACCUCUGCUCCCAGGUUCAAGUGAGUCUUCUGCCUCAGCCUUCCUGAGUAGCUGGGAUUACAGGCAUGUGCCACCAUGCCUGGCUAAAAUUUUGUAUUUUCCUUAGUAGAGAUCAGUUUUCUCCAUGUUGGUCAGGCUGGUCUCGAAUUCCUGACCUCAGGUGAUCCACCCGCCUUGGCCUCUCAAAGUGCUGGGAUUACAGGUGUGAGCCACCGCGCCUGGCCUAAUUUUUUGUAUUUUUAGUAGAGACGGGGUUUCACCGUGUUAGCCAGGAUGAUCUCGAUCUCCUGACCUCGUGAUCCGCCUGCCUCGGCUUCCCAAAGUGCUGGGAUUACAGGCGUGAGCCACUGUGCCUGGCCCGAAAGGUGAAUGUUCUUUGCCUUAUUUUAAACUUUAUUGUAAUAAAUUCACUAAUGAAGCAGGCAGAGAAGAUGUAAAGGACACUUCAUUAGUAAUGCUAUAUUUCAUAUACCUGCUGUAUUUUGGGAGCAUUAUUGCUAUCAUUUGGUUUGUUGGAUCCCUCCAAAUCUCACGUUGAAAUUUGAUCCCCAGUGUUGGAGGUGGGGCUUAAUGGGAGAUGUUUUCAGACAUGGGGGUGGAUCCCUGACACAGGGCUUGAUGCCCUCCUAGUGAUAAU